UACAGAGGGUGCAAGCGUUGCUCGGAAUUAUUGGGCGUAAAGGGUAGGUAGGUGGUCUCAUUUGUCUGGGGUGAAAGCCUUGAGCUUAACUCAAGAAGUGCCCCAGAAACGGUGAGACUGGAGUCCUGGAGAGGGUCGUGGAAUUCCCGGUGUAGCGGUGAAAUGCGUAGAGAUCCGGAAGAACACCGGUGGCGAAGGCGGCCUGCUGGGGCAGUUGCUGACACUGAGGCGCGAAAGCGUGGGUAGCAAACAGG
rnacentral:rRNA from 1 species